AUUGAACGCUGGCGGCAGGCCUAACACAUGCAAGUCGAGCGGAGCGGCGGACGGGUGAGUAAUGCCUAGGAAUCUGCCUGGUAGUGGGGGAUAACGUCCGGUAACGGGCGCUAAUACCACAUACUAUCAGAUGAGCCUAGGGCGGAUUAGCUAGUUGGUGGGGUAAAGGCCUACCAAGGCGAAGAUCCGUAACUGGUCUGAGAGGAUGAGCAGGCACACUAGAACUGAGACACGGUCCAGGCUCCUACGGGAGGCAGCGGUGGGGAAUAGUGGACAAUGGGCGAAAGCCUGAUCCAGCCAUGCCGGGUGGGUGAAGAAGGUCUUCGGAUUGUAAAGAACUUUAAGUUGGGAGACGUUACCAACAGAAUAAGCACCGGCUAACUUCGUGCCAGCGGCCGCGGUAAUC
rnacentral:rRNA from 1 species